rnacentral:lncRNA from 1 species
UGUAUCUUAAAAACCAGAUCUUGGAAAGCAGUCAUAUUGCACUUGUAUUGGCAAUAUGAUUCUUCUUUUUCAAAAUGUGUUGGAGCUUUCAUUCUCUUUAGUAUUGGCAAUAUGAUUGUUCUUUUUCAAAAUGUGUUGGAGCUUUCAUUCUCUUUAGUCCUUUUUGCACCUACAGACGGUAGCAUAUUCAUAUUCUUACAUUCCUAAACACACAAACAUUCCAAGUAAGUGCAGUAGCAAUUACAAAUCAAAUCAAUAGACCGCACAUUCAUAACAACAAACACUUGCUCAAUUUUAUACAAUCGAUAGCAUGAUCCAGAGCCGACAAUAAUUUUCUCUUAGUAUUAAAAUCAUAUUACAACUAGAAUUCGACAGUUGCAGACACAUCAAACAAGAAAAAGCUAGAAAUGAAUUUUAGACAUUUCCUCAUUUCAUGUAAUGGAAUUUCCUCAUUUUAGAUAUCAAAUCAUAAAUCACACUACCAGGACAAGCACUUUAGCCGACGAAAAAUUUUCGUCGGCCUGUUAGCUUAAUUCGUCGGCUAAGAUCUUAGCCGACGAGCCAUUGUCGGCUAAGAUUUCGUCGGGAAAAGGUCGUCUGUGAUGACUUUAGCCGACGAAAAAAAAAAUUUCGUCGGCUAUAGUCCCGCAGUUUAGCCGACGAAGAACAUGUCGUCGGUUUUUUUACCAGACUUUAGCUGACGAAACAAUUAAGAUAUUCGUCAGCUAAGGUCUGUAAUAAAAAAAUUUUUCCCAGACUAUAGCCGACGAAAUAUAGUAUGUUUCGUCGGCUAAACCUUAUAAAAAAAUUUAAAAAAUAACUAUAGCCGACGAAAUAUAGUUUGUUUCGUCGGCUAAACCUUAUAAAAAAUUUUUAAAAAUAACUAUAGCCGACGAAAUAUAGUCUGUUUCGUCGGCUAAACCUUAUAAAAAAUUUUAAAAAUAACUAUAGUCGACGAAAUAUGCCAUAAUUUGUCGGCUAAACCUUAUAAAAAAAUUUAAAAAUACUAUAGCCGACGAAUAAACCUUUAAAUAUCGUCGGCUAAACCUUUAAAUAUCGUCGGCUAAAGUUGCUGGUUUUUGAAAAAAAAAAACUGCAGAAACUUUCAGCCACCUCCAAUCACCACCAAAAUUUGACAGAAUCUUCCUCUCAACAUUUCGAACAACUUUCUAGAAGAAGUCGAAGCCCAAUUCUAAGCCUAAACAGAUCAAUUGAAUCAAAAUAUAAAAAUCCCCCAAUUUUUAAACCCCUAAAAACUUCAAAAUCUUCGAUUCUCCUCACACACACCGAAUCGAGCUACCAAAUUCUAGGGGAAUGUAGUACUAAUCAAACUCAACUUAUCCAUAUAUAGAACUCACCAAAUGGUNNNNNNNNNNNNNNNNNNNNAAAAAAAACUGCAGAAACUUUCAGCCACCUCCAAUCACCACCAAAAUUUGACAGAAUCUUCCUCUCAACAUUUCGAACAACUUUCUAGAAGAAGUCGAAGCCCAAUUCUAAGCCUAAACAGAUCAAUUGAAUCAAAAUAUAAAAAUCCCCAAUUUUAAACCCUAAAAACUUCAAAUCUUCGAUUCUCCUCACACACACCGAAUCGAGCUACCAAAUUCUAGGGGAAUGUAGUACUAAUCAAACUCAACUUAUCCAUAUAUAGAACUCACCAAAUGGUAACCUGAGGAAGGAGAAAUUCGAUCGACACCGAAUCCUAACCGGCGGAGUUUUAGAGCUCGAUUUAUCUCUCACGGCGGCGCCACUUGAUACACCACCUAUCCAGCAAUGAAGUAGAGACGACGGCGAAGCUUUUGGGACAAGUGUGGCGGUCUCCGGUGGCUUGACGGCGGAGCUAGGCCGAGAAGAAAAUCUAGCAGGCGAAAUAGACUUCUUACCAUCCACCUUCGGUAAAACUCCUAUAUAAAGAACUUUAGUUGAGGAAAUUCUUUAUUUUCGUCGGCUAAACUCUUUUGAAAAUUUUGAAAAUUUUGGUUGACCGCCAAAAAAUUUUGGUUGAAAAUUUUGAAAAUUUUUCAACUUUAGCCGACGACUUUUCAUAUAUUUUCGUCAGCUAAAGUCCUUUGAAAAUUUUCCUCCAAAUUUGGUUUACCGCCCAAAAAUUUUUGACUUUAGCCGACGACUUUUUUAAUAUCUUGUCGGCUAAAGUCUAUAAAUUCACGAAAACGCUCAUAUCUCCCUCUAUAUUACGUAGUUUGGUCAAACCUUCCACACGAAAAACUUUCACGUAGAUGAGACGCAACCGCCUAUAUAAAAAUUUUGAGAUAUUUGCCUUCCGACGAUAGGGCUCCCCAUAGGGAAUAAUAACGGUAAAAAGGGUUGACCGCUACUAUCAGCACCAAGACUUUACCCGAUUUACGUGAUUUUUGAAUCAUAGCCGUAUUUCACCAUUCUGAACACAUCUUAUUUCAAGAGAUUUUUGAUAAUUUUGCUUCCUAUAUAGAGUUGGUUCACAAAGUUGUAUAACCUACUAAACAAGUUAUACAACAUUAGUAGACACAUUGUGAUUCCGAUGACUAAAAUUCACAAACCAAAAUUCGACGGUCAGAUAUGGUCAUUAUGACGAAAGAUGUCUAUGGUAAAAAAUUCAACUGGAUCCUACAACGUUAAGGACUCGAUCGAAACGGGUAACCAUAAUCCAUCGUCACUUAUCACACGAAAACGCUCAUAUCUCCCUCUAUAUUACGUGGUUUGGUCAAACCUUCCACACAAAAAACUCUCACGUAGAUGAGACGCAACUGCCCAUAUAAAAAUUUUGAGACAUUUACCUUCUGACGAUAGGGCUCCCCAUAGGGAAUAAUAACGGUAAAUAGUAGACACGUUCUGAUUCCGAUGACUAAAAUUUACAAACCAAAAUUCGACCGUCCGAUAUGAUCAUUAUGACGAAAGAUGUCUAUGGUAAAAAAUUCAACUGGAUUCGACAACAUUAAGGGCUCGAUCGAAACGGUCAACUCUAAUCAGAAAUAAGAAAAC